rfam:Beta vulgaris subsp. vulgaris Bvchr8.sca018.con0287.1, whole genome shotgun sequence.
CCGACCUUAGCUCAGUUGGUAGAGCGGAGGACUGUAGUUGAUCAAGCAGUAUAAUCCUUAGGUCGCUGGUUCGAAUCCGGCAGGUCGGA